GCAUAUCAAUAAGCGGAGGAAAAGAAACCAACCGGGAUUGCCUUAGUAACGGCGAGUGAAGCGGCAAAAGCUCAAAUUUGAAAUCUGGUACCUUCGGUGCCCGAGUUGUAAUUUGGAGAGGGCAACUUUGGGGCCGUUCCUUGUCUAUGUUCCUUGGAACAGGACGUCAUAGAGGGUGAGAAUCCCGUGUGGCGAGGAGUGCGGUUCUUUGUAAAGUGCCUUCGAAGAGUCGAGUUGUUUGGGAAUGCAGCUCUAAGUGGGUGGUAAAUUCCAUCUAAAGCUAAAUAUUGGCGAGAGACCGAUAGCGAACAAGUACAGUGAUGGAAAGAUGAAAAGAACUUUGAAAAGAGAGUGAAAAAGUACGUGAAAUUGUUGAAAGGGAAGGGCAUUUGAUCAGACAUGGUGUUUUGUGCCCUCUGCUCCUUGUGGGUAGGGGAAUCUCGCAUUUCACUGGGCCAGCAUCAGUUUUGGUGGCAGGAUAAAUCCAUAGGAAUGUAGCUUGCCUCGGUAAGUAUUAUAGCCUGUGGGAAUACUGCCAGCUGGGACUGAGGACUGCGACGUAAGUCAAGGAUGCUGGCAUAAUGGUUAUAUGCCGCCCGUCUUGAACAACCGACCA
rnacentral:rRNA from 1 species